rnacentral:lncRNA from 1 species
UGGAAAUUUGGGCCUUGGUCCAGGAGCAUCCAUGGGAACUAUGGAGUCAGAAGUCUCAGAGGUGAGGCCCAUGGAUCCGUGUUUUCAUCAGACUGAGCUGCAGAACCUCAGACAGAAAGCCUCCGUUGCAAACUCCAGGUCACACACCUGCAGAGUGAUGGGGCCAGGAAGCAGAGCUCACACACUGAACCACAGCCAGAAGAUCUGCCUCUCAACAGGCUGCCCAAGAUGCCAGGUACAGGGUGCUUCUGCUCCUUCUUUUUUUUUUGUGAACCAAAGUUCUUAACCUCUGUCCUAGUUACUUUUCUCAUUGCUGAGA